AUGUUUUUUCCUCUCGAGCAUAUUAAAAAAUCUCGAUCAACCAGGAAACCAGUUUGUUAUGUCGUACAGACAAAUUAUUGCCUUUCUUCCCAAAAAGUAGACACAUAUUUUUUAUUAUAUUAUAUUCUCAUGUUUAUUCAUUCCGUACGGAGUAUUGAAAAGCGGUAGGCAGUUCAAUGGUCAAGGAUUUUAAGCGAAAAUGCCGUUACCCUUCUGUGCAACAAGCACAACUGGUUUUAAUUUAUCUAAGCUUCUAUUGUGUAGUAACACGGGUGCCAGCAAUUGAUGCUGGUCCAGCUUUUGGUCCAGGUGUGCUCUGCCGUGCGCUAGCUGUGCAUUAAACGUAUGCAUACUUUCACACCACCAAACAUUUACCGUUCUCUAUUAGGCAUAAAGCAAAAUCAUUGAACUUUUAUACAAAUUCGUUGUGAUCUGUUGUUUUGCUACGAUAAACAUGUAUUUCAAGUUUCAAAGGCAAGGGAAUUUCAACUGUGUCUGCUUUAUUGUCCAUUGCCCAUUGUCCUUGUGCGUAUGCGUUAAACGUCCUUGCGUUUGUGCAUUUUUUAUGCGGCCGUCGUCCUAUUGUCUCGAGCACUUUAUAAAGCCCAGAUUUUGCGCAGUUACGAUCAGUUUCAUUUCGAUCUUCAAACACUCAACAUCAGCCAAAAUUAUAGUGGAUUCGGUCGACGUGGCAGGAUCACACAGAUCCUGGCGUUGUAUUGGAGUAUAUUCGAGUGAAUUUAACCCAUCAACGUUGGCUAAUGUAUUCCUGAACCAAGUGCUAAAUUGCAAUAACAAAAAUUAGAUACACGUUUAUUAAAUAUUAAGUAAAAGUUAAAUACAAAUUUAAAUCUCAAAGAUAAUAAUUUAAAACACAAACUCAAUAAAGCGUGAACAACAUUUAAGCAAAAAAAAAAAAAAAUAAGGAAAAUUUAACAAUUAAUAAAUACAUUAAUCUACGAAGCCUAAGUUUUAAAAACAAACAGCAAUAAGUAUACAUUUUCAAGAUUAUUGAACGAAAGUCAGUUCCAAGGACAAUGCUCCAGAAUCAAAUCAUACUGUGUUCUAAAGAAAAUGAAAGAGAAUUUAAAUCUAAUAUACUAUUUUUCCAUUUACAGGAUCUCUUUAAUUACCAAAAGGAGGGUACGCUAAACACGAUCAAUUGAAACUCAACAAAACAUCUCAACUUCGUUAUAUUAAAAUUUCAAUUCUUCACACAUACAUCGUACAAAAUCCGUUUUGACUAUUUCCCAUUAACUUUGAAGCAUCAUACAACAACUCUCACAAAUGAGUUUGAACUUAAGAUGAAGAAUUUGACUCACAUUUGGUAGCAAAACGAAAGUAAUAUUAAGAUACUCUUACUCGCCGCAUAUAAAGCCGAAGAAGUGUAGCUUUUUCGGGGAAAUGCGCAGGAGAAACGGCGGAGAACCAGAUAAAAUCCAUGCAAAGAUAAAUUACCCCGUCCGUAUACAACUACUACUGCAAUUCCAUAUAGACGCGAGAUGCUAGUUUCUCCUGUAAAGUACACUCAAGAGAACAGAGAUAAAGGCAUUACCCCAGCUUGUAGGCAGAUCUCUUCAACCCCGUGAACAACAGCAGCAAUACAUUUAAGAAUCAACAUCAACUCUCUCACCAACACAACUUCCAAUUCGAACAAAAGCCAACGAAACAAAUGUUGUGCUUCGUAAUAUGGUUGAAAUGCAAUGCAUAGAUUUUGGAUAGUUUUGGCUAGUGUUUUGGCUGUGACUAAAUUGCUACCGGUUAAUUCGCAUUGCAUAUAAAUUUAACAGCGUGAUAGAUAUAAAUAUUAACAUAACACGGAAAUCCAAAAUUGAGGUGAGCUACUGUCAUAAUCACAAUUUGUAUUGUAACCAAAAAGUAAAAAAGAAAAAUGGCGCGAACCAUACAAAGAGCCUGAGCGUUCAGCAAGUAUCAGCGGAAGCAGAACGCUUUCUAGGGCAAUCCACAGCGAAUGUACUUUAACUUUAAGCCAUACGCAUCCAUAAAUAAUAUAGUUCAAGAAAAAUUAUUAUUAGAAACCAAAAACCAAAAUAUGUCCAUACCAAAAGAGUGCAUUCAUGUUUUUCAAGGACAUCCAAGAAGCUGCAGAAAAAUUAAAAUUUACAAAAAAUUAACUUGCAAUAGUUAUGGUUUAAAAAUAUAUUUUUAUUUUGAGCAUGUAUGGUACUAUUUGUACGAAAAAAGUUAGUGAAUCUUUCAUUUACUCAAAUUUGUUGUGGAUAUUUCCACCACCAUUUCCUCUCCUCCAAUAUCACCACUACGCAGAAGUUUCGUCUCAAAUAAAAUGGCAGCCGCUUCUUGGAUGUCAUUGAAGAAUGAAAUAGACCGACAAUCUAAACUAAAAUUAAAAAAUCCGAAAACUUGAAAAAAAUUCUUUUAGCAAUUUGCUAAUGUUGAAGUGAUUAAACCAAUAGCGAUCGAAUUUUUUAAUUUUAAGGUUUAUGAUAUUCAAGAAAUAUGCAAAAUGUUAAAAGAAAUUUUUAUACAAAGCCAAAAGCCCUAAAUACGUCCUUAAUACUUGAACUCUAAAAACAAAUCUAAUUAAUUUUAAUGAACGCACGCUGCUAAAUAUUUCACGAUAGUCCUAUUCUUAUAUUUCGCAAUCACUAAAAUUUAUAAGUUUGGAAUAUUUAGUCAUCUUCAAGAUUAAGAUUUGCGGAUGUAGCCACUACAACUUUUGAACUGGUUCGCCAUUAAAAGCUGAAAGCGCUUCGAUUAGAUAUUAAAAAUUUACUUCAGAUAAGGUCAUUUAAUUGAAAAUUUCCUUUUGAAAAAAUUUUAAAUCAGCUAAAUAACUAAAAAGUCUUAUAUUUUCUCUCCUUUUUCCAUAAUUCUUACGCGAAAAAUUUAAAUUAGAUAGUCCUUUUGAAAUUAUUUCAAUUAAAUACAAAGAUUUCGAAUCCAGGCACUUUACGCUAUAUCAAGAACACAAAAUCUUGUUAAAACUUCGCAUUCAAAAAAAUAAAAUUAUUUACUUUAAAGGAAUUCUUUUCAAAUUUUAAAAUUUCAAAAUAACUUUUGAACUUGAAGUACAAAAUUAAUUAAUUUAAUUUAAAUAAAAUAUUAAUCUUCCUAUAUAACUAAGGUAAAAAAAUUUAUUUUCGAUGAAAUGAUUCAAAAUUUUCAGAUAAUCUAGUUUGAUUUUUGAUCAAAAAAUAUUUCGUUAAAUCUUAAUAAAUUAAUUGCAAAAUCUGUUUUUAUAUGAAAUAAAUUUAGUUAAGCAAAAACCUUGAGUUUCGUUUUCGAAAGAAUUUGAUUAAAUUUUACUAAAUUCAAUUUUCGAAAUUAACCAUUUCCAAAACUCAAAGUUCUGUGAAAAAAGUCGUAAAAUUAAUGCUUUCAUUAUGAUUUCUAAAAUUUAAUUAUUUAAAGCAAAGCAUUGUUUUGAAUUUGGGGUAAUCAUAUAAUUUGAUGGAAUUAGUUAUUUUUAGACAAAAAAAAAAAACACUUCGGCAGCUUACUCAUCUCUAAAAAUUAUUUUUACUGAUCCUAAAUCUUAAAAUAAUAUCAAAUAUAAAUAAUUAUAAAUUAACAAAAUGCAAAUAUUUUUAAAUUCACAAUUUAAUAUACUUUUAUAAUUUUUUAUUAAAAAUAAUAUAUUUUAUUUGAUUAGCUUACAAAAGUUUUAAGCCAUUUAAGUUUCAAAAGUUUAAGAAAAAUAAUUUGUGAUCUUGGAAGACAGACAUAUAUCUACUACAUGGACUUAUGUACAUAUAUGUUUUAAAAGAUAAUAGUUUAAUUAAAAAAUAUUUGAAAUGAAAAACGGAAUACAAACAAUUUACCCCUAAUUAUCCAAAAAUAAUUCCAUGCAUCUAAUAUUUUAAUCAGUAAUUUAUUGAAGGACAAAUCAUAACACUUUAUGGUAUAAAGAAAGCAAAAUAUUUAUCUGAGAAACUUAAAAUUUAAUAAUUUAAACAUUUAUUUUUAGACUUUUCCAAAUUCAUCGAUCGUAGCGGCUACGCACUUAUCUUUGGCAUUUGAAUAUUAAAAAGAUUCCAAAUUCAAUAAAUCAAAGCACGAAUGUGUGAUAACGUAACGUCUUCGAGUAUAUCUUACCCAAAGAAACAAAAAAACACAUUUUGAUUGCAAAUUUAACUCUUAAUUCAUUAUUCGAAGCAACAUUGAAUCCAUCUGGCGAAAAAUAAAAAUAAAUUCCUUUAAAUAAAUCUUAAUUAAACUGAAGAAAGCAACUCUGCAAAAAGCAACAAAAUUCACGGUCUUACAAAAAUUUAAAUUCACGCAUACUCGAAUAUCCAAAUUGUAAAAAAUAUUUGUAUACAACAAUGACUACCAAAAGCGACCUAUAAAACAAAAUUAAAGUGACAAUAAAGCGCACAUUAUUAUACAUAUUAACAGAGUCAUAAAUUACCCUAUGCGGCAGAACGGAAGUCGUUAUGCGACAAACGCAAGAAAUUUUCAAAUUCAUACUCCUCUAGCAUUAGUCAAGUACAAAGCUCAUUACAACUCCCCGGAAAACGCAAUAAAAAAUCCACUUUGGCAAGCAACUCGGCUCGACAAGACAAAGUCAUCUUAAAAUAGCAGCAAACAAAACAAAAUUCCAAAUAAGAAAACACUUUAUUUAGCAGUAAAUUUGAGUUCUUAAACCAGUUAAAUUUAUAAUCGAAAAUAUGGUAGACGCUGCUAUUCAAAAUGGUUGUGAAAUUGCGAGGUAUUGACUGAUAGGUCCAGAAAGACCAUCUUUUCAAAGACUGAUAGAGUGGUUAAGCAUUAUGCAAUAUAUAAACAAAGUAUUUGAAUCAAAACUACAAAACUACCAUAUUGGGCGAUAGUCAAUCAACCGAAGACAAGCAAUCUGUAAAUGUCAAAAACUGAAAGUCUCAUUCAAUUACUUAACCAAGCGGAUAAGCAAAAAGCUCGUUUAUUCGGCCGAACUUUCAACACAAACGAGAAAAACUAUGAAAUUCAAAUCAAAAUCAACUUCUGAAUUACAUCAAACAACGAUGACUACCGCAUCUCUACACAAAUUUUAUCCUUCGUCAUAAUAUUAAAAUCAUUCAAAAAGAAAAUUCAACUUUGGCAACGUUCUUAAAUUGUGGUCAAAUUUCUUGAAGAAAAUCUGUAAAUCUGGAUUAAUAUACGGGCAUAUGUUUUACUCACAAAUCGUCACACAUAUGCAGAAGUUAAUAGCAUAGUAUAAAAAAUAGCAAAAACUACAACAUCAAAAACAAAUUGCAAUUCAAGCAAUUCCAUAAGUGUGGAAACAAAAGCGUAGUUGUGGCAAAAGAACCCUCAGAAAGAUAUUUACGACGAACUUUCAUCAAAUAAAUAAACAAGAAUAAAACAACACACGCCGCAGAUUGAAAUCAGGUUCACCGUCAGAAUGGCAGUCAAACGGUUUUUAUGCAAUCUUUCAGAACCAAGUACUUACACACAAGCACAUACAAAAAUUACAUAUCUCAACAUCAUCGACAACAUCAAAUUUGCUAUUGAGCAACAAUCCAAAAACAGCAAUGUGUAUCAGCUUCGACAGCAUAAGCUACAAAAUCAUACAGAGCAGCAUUUAAACUUUCCAUAAUAAAUUUAUGAACCAGCAGCAGUCGCAGUAAUUGCUAUCAAUAAAAUAUAAACCCCAAAAAACGUUCAAACUCACACUAAGGCCAUGCGCAGUCUUUCGCCAACAAGCCAACAGCAGGCCAACCUCAUUCACAAAGCACUCUAUCUUGCUAUCGUAUUCAACUAUUCCACCCCCCAAACACUGCCAACCCGCCCAUUUGGCCAAGCUAAUGACAUGAGGCCGCUGCAAAUGAAAUUACAAUAUAUCUAUUGAACAUGGCAGACAGCAACCAAAGAAACCAGCAGCAAGACCGCGGCAAAACUAAAGGAUGCGAUUGCAAAGACAGUAUUCGAAGAAUAAGAAAAUACUAAAUUUAUAGCAAAAUUGCUCUCAAAUUUACUUGCUGCAUAUACCGACAGUUACAUGUUCUCGAUCAACGGCAACAAAUUUGGUAACGCAUAAUGGUUUCAUCUCAACCUAACCAAAUGAUAUACUAUAUAUAAGCAUGUAGGUAUAUACAAAAAUUCAUAUAUAUUUCUCGCCAAAACCUAACUCUAAAAUGACGACAUAUUCGCAUUUUUAUGAAAAUUCGCCAAGCCAACGAAACUCGUUUUGAUAUCGAUUUUUAGAAACGCAGGUAGCAAAGAGAUUCUCCUCCGCAACACACAUAUUCAAACAUGCAUGAAUAUUUAUUAGCGAUUACGCUUUCAUUUUAUAAAGUUUCUUUAAAGUUUUGACUAAUUCAUAGGCAAAAGCGGAUGGAGAUCGAAAUUGUUAUUAUAAGUAAAUUCAAUCCAAUCCAGUUCAGAAGAGCUUCACUAUUUCAGUAGUUUACCACUAAAUCAUCAUUGUACACACAAAUGUUUUGAUAAGUAUUCUCUGGCACUAACACAUACUGUGUGACUCACUUUCGAAAUUUAUUCGGCGUCAAUGAUUUUUAAAAUAUGUAGUUGGGAUCUGUCCAGAGAGAUUGCCUUGCGAAAUCAAAUAUUGUUUGAUUGUGCGGUAAAGAAUCAUCAGGGGGGAUACCCAGUGUAAUUGCUUUAAAUACGCAACGAACGAAAAAGAGCUUUGUGCCCACGUGCCAGAAAGCGAAAUGCAUACACUCAUAUAUACAUAUGUAGGUAUGUACAUACAUAUGUAAGCAAUGAAAAAGUAAAUAAUCGAAAAAUUAUUGAGCCAACUAAAAUGAAAUAAAUUAAACACACCACUAAUAUUUUAGAGAUUCGAACAAAUUUCGAAAAUAACUUGACCUUUUUAUGUAUGAUUAAUAUUUUGAGUGGUUAAGCGAACAACAUAGUUUUGUGGGUUCAGCUUAUAAGGAAACAACACAAAGAAACAAAUUCAAAAGAAUAGUCAAAGAAACAAAAAACCCAUAAUGGCUAAAAUUAAAUUGUUAUCACAACUACGUCACAACAUGGUUACGGAAGAAAACUUACAAGGGCUAAUCGCAAACAUUAUCGAAUGAAAAAAUAUAAUGUAACUACACUCUGUAUCCCCUCAAUUGUGGACACAUUUUGUUGUCGCCAAAACACGAGUAAAAUGAAGGCAAAAUGUCCUUAAAUUCGUGAAUGUUUACUGAAAAAAGCCAAAAUCGAUGACCUUUCGAAUCAUCAAAAGUUAAGCUGGUCAUGCAGGUGAUUUAAAGAGAACUUGUAUGCAGCGCUAAAAUUGUGAAUGCCAAUCCUUUUGUCUAAAAUGUUCUCUUCUUAUCACUUUUGUAUUCGCAAACAUUUUAGAUGAGACGAUUGUUGCAUUAUUUACAAAUAUUCCUUAUUUUCUACAUAUAAACAAAAUUGUAUAGUUGUUAGUAACAACCGAUAAAAUGUUAUUUAAUCUCUUUGAUAGAUCUAGAAUUUCCGGUAUAGGUACAUAUGUAUAUACAUAUUCACUGCAUGGUAAUUCAAAUAUGAGUAAAGUAUUCAAAAAUUGUUAACACUCAAAUAUAAAAUAGAUUAAUAUAACUGUAAAGCUAUGCUGUUCUAAUCUAAAUCUAUAUCUAAAUUGAAUAAUAAUAUACAAUUGUACAACUCAGUUUGCUCCUAAUAAAAUAAAUAAACUCAACUCAACUCAAA